ACUCCCACUAUCACUUUUUCUAGUGUCAUAGAGCCUUACAGCAUGAAAACAGGCCCUUCAGCCCAACUUGCCCACACCAGCCACAUGUCCCAUCUACACUGGACCACCUGUCUACGUUUGGCCC